rnacentral:tRNA from 1 species
GGGGAUAUAGCUUAAUAGGUAAAGCACUUGCUUUGCAAGCAAGGUUAUAUCGGUUCAAGUCCGUUUAUCUCCA